CGCAUCUUGCGCUCCUUGGUAUUCCUUGGAGCAUGCCUGUUUGAGUGUCAUGAAUAUCUCAAUCCCUAGAAGGCUAUUGUCGACUAGUGGACUUGGUCUUGGGAGUUGUUGGUCACACUGACUCUCCUUAAAUGUAUUAGCGGGACCUAAUUGUAUCUCCGGUGUGAUAAUAUCUACUCCGCUUGAUCACAACAAAGGAUCUGCUUCUAAUCGUCCUUUCGGACAAUCCUUGACAUCUGACCUCAAAUCAGGUAGGACUACCCGCUGAACUUAA
rnacentral:misc_RNA from 1 species